AGCGAACGCUGGCGGCAGGCUUAACACAUGCAAGUCGAACGGGCGUAGCAAUACGUCAGUGGCAGACGGGUGAGUAACACGUGGGAACGUACCUUUGGUUCGGAACAACACAGGGAAACUUGUGCUAAUACCGGAUAAGCCCUUACGGGGAAAGAUUUAUCGCCGAAAGAUCGGCCCGCGUCUGGUUAGCUAGUUGGUAGGGUAACGGCCUACCAAGGCGACGAUCAGUAGCUGGUCUGAGAGGAUGAUCAGCCACAUUGGGACUGAGACACGGCCCAAACUCCUACGGGAGGCAGCAGUGGGGAAUAUUGGACAAUGGGGGCGAACCCUGNUCCAGCCAUGCCGCGUGAGUGAUG
rnacentral:rRNA from 1 species